rnacentral:rRNA from 1 species
AUUGAACGCUGGCGGCAGGCCUAACACAUGCAAGUCGAGCGGAUGAAGGGAGCUUGCUCCUGGCUUCAGCGGCGGACGGGCGAGUAAUGCAUAGGAAUCUGCCUGGCAGUGGGGGAUAAGGUCCCGACACGGGAGCUAAUCCAGUAUACGACAUGAGGGUGAAAGUGGGGGAUCUUCGGUGCACACGCUAUUUGAUGAGCCUAGGUCGGAUUAGCUAGUUGGUAGGGUAAGGGCCUACCAAGGCGACGAUCCGUAACUGGUCUGAGAGGAUGAUCAGUCACACUGGAACUGAGACACGGUCCAGACUCCUACGGGAGGCAGCAGUGGGGAAUAUUGGACAAUGGGCGAAAGCCUGACGCAGCCAUGCCGCGUGUGUGAAGAAGGUCUUCGGAUUGUAAAGCACUUUAAGUUGGGAAGAAGAACAGUAAGUGUAUCCCUUGCUGUUUUGACGUUACCAACAGAGAAAGCACCGGCUAACUUCGUG